AGCUCCAAUAGCGUAUAUUAAAAUUGUUGCGGUUAAAACGCUCGUAGUUGGAUACCUGCCUAGGAGGCCCCGGUGCGCCCCAGUUGGUGUUUACGCGGUCGGCCAUACCUUGGCGCUUGCUCGGGAAAACGCGGUUGCACUUCAUUGUGUGUCGCGUGACUUGGGCUUUUACUUUGAGGAAAUGAGAGUGUUUCAAGCAGGCAAUUGCCGUGAAUACGAUAGCAUGGAAUAAUAGCACGGGACCCCGUUCCAACGCUGUUGGUUUGUGGAACGAGGUAACUAGAACAAGGAUAGUCGGGGGUAUUCGUAUUUAACUGUCAGAGGUGAAAUUCUUGGAUUUUUUAAAGACGAACUAUUGCGAAGGCAUCUGCCCAGGAUGUUUUUGUUG
rnacentral:rRNA from 1 species